GGGCCCGUGGCGUAGAGGCAGCGCGCCCACAAGAUGAGCGGGAGGUCGCCGGUUCGAAUCCGGCCGGGCCCA
rnacentral:tRNA from 1 species